CCUACGGGAAGCAGCAGUGGGGAAUAUUGGACAAUGGGGGGAACCCUGAUCCAGCGACGCCGCGUGAGUGAAGAAGUAUUUCGGUAUGUAAAGCUCUAUCAGCAGGGAAGAAAAUGACGGUACCUGACUAAGAAGCCCCGGCUAACUACGUGCCAGCAGCCGCGGUAAUACGUAGGGGGCAAGCGUUAUCCGGAUUUACUGGGUGUAAAGGGAGCGUAGACGGUGCAGCAAGUCUGAUGUGAAAGGUCGGGGCCCAACCCCGGCGAGCCGUUGAAACUGGCUGUCUUGAGAUGUCGAGAGGUAUGCGGAAUGCGCAGUGUAGCGGUGAAAUGCUUAGAUAUUGCGCAGAACUCCGAUUGCGAAGGCAGCAUACCGGCGGCGAUCUGACGCUGAGGCACGAAAGCGUGGGUAUCGAACAGGAUUAGAUACCCGAGUAGUC
rnacentral:rRNA from 1 species